rnacentral:rRNA from 1 species
UACGAAGGGGGGCUAGCGUUGCUCGGAAUCACUGGGCGUAAAGGGUGCGUAGGCGGGUCUUUAAGUCAGGGGUGAAAUCCCAGAGCUCAACUCUGGAACUGCCUUUGAUACUGGGUAUCUUGAGUAUGGAAGAGGUAAGUGGAAUUGCGAGUGUAGAGGUGAAAUUCGUAGAUAUUCGCAGGAACACCAGUGGCGAAGGCGGCUUACUGGUCCAUAACUGACGCUGAGGUGCGAAAGCGUGGGGAGCAAACAGG